GGUGCACCGUCCAUGCUGACCUUAACAAACGCCGCAGCUGUGGUGGUAGUAGUGGCGGCUGCACUGUUUCCGGCCUUCUUGCUGCCACCUUCCUCCUCGGAACUGGCUUUUUGGACGGCCAUUAUGUUCUUCCGGAAUGACCUGACUGGUGGCCAUCCCACCACUUGUGCCCUAAAAAAAGAUAAUAAAAAAAUACAAUUAUUGAAAAUGUAAAAACAAUCUUAGCCACUUCCCUGUUACAACCUUUGAAUUAUUGUUUGGUUGGUGGGAAAAGCACUAAAGAUUCCACAUGUUUUGUUUUUUUCCCUCUUUUUCCCGACAAACAACCAAAGCCAUCAAAUAUCAAAAUUAAACAUUUCUUUUUUUCCACUUUACAAGGCCAAGAUCUAAUGAAGACUCAUCUUCUUCAAGUUCAAAUUAAUAUCCAACAAUAUUCGGAAAAGAAAAUCCUAAAAUCAAGAAAUUAAUUCCAUCAAAAGAUAUCAACUCAUGCAAUGAACUUUCUUUCUAAUGUUACUCAAACAGCCAAGAAAAUAUAUAUGGUUCAUAGCUUACUUGGCAGGUGGCUUUGCAGUGUCAGUUGAGCUCUUCUCCUUCAUCUUAUCGGAAUCCUCGGCUACAGUCUCCUUUGAUGAAAGGUUAAGCUUCAAAUUAACGGUCUCCGAGAACCCUCGUUUUCCGUUGUUUUUGGUAGUUUCACCUUCGUUUCCA
rnacentral:lncRNA from 1 species